rnacentral:SRP_RNA from 1 species
GGCCGGGCCCAAUGGGCGGACGGCUCGUGAACCUGGUCAGGGCUUGACGGCAGCAGCCAUAAGCGUCGUCGCCCGUGCCGUUGGUCGCCUGGUCGUC